rnacentral:lncRNA from 1 species
UUAUUUUAUUUAAAAAUAAAUUUAACUGAAAAUGUGAGUCAAUUAAUAUUCAAAUUUGGGAUCUUAGAUACCAACCAUUAAGCCAUUUGUCACUUGCCCGGAGAUUUAAAGCUGCCAUCGAAGUAGGAUCAACAAAUAGAAUAAUUUAUUAUUUAUUAAUUAUUAAUUAAUUAUAAAUUUAUUUAUUUGUUAUUUUAUAAAUAGUGGUGAUUUUGAGUUAUUAUAAUAUUUUAAAAUGUAAUUAGUGUAUUAAUUAUUUUAGUUAGCUGUAUAUUAUUGUUUGUGAAUAAUAAUUAUUGAUUUAAUUUUUUUAUUGGCUAUUGAUACGUGGUUAGUUUUAU